AUGGUGGUGGUGGCAGCCGCGCCGAGCCCGGCCGCUGGGGCCCCCAAGAUGCUGCUUCUGUCUAGCAAGCCCUCCCCGGUUGCCGCCGCCGCCGCCGCUGCCGCUGGGGCCCCGGCCGGCCGGGCCCUGCCGCUCAUGGUUUCCGAGGCGGCGGGCGGGGAAACGCCCCAGGCGCGCAAGCGACAGCGCCUCACGCACUUGAGCCCGGAAGAGAAGGCGCUGCGGAGGAAACUGAAAAACAGAGUAGCAGCUCAGACCGCCAGAGACCGCAAGAAAGCGCGGAUGACUGAGCUGGAACAACAAGUGGUGGAUUUGGAAGAAGAGAACCAAAAACUUUUGCUAGAAAAUCAGCUUUUGCGAGAGAAAACUCAUGGCCUUAUAGUCGAGAACCAGGAGUUAAGACAGCGCUUGGGGAUGGAUGCCCUGGUGAAUGAAGAUGAGGUGGAAACCAAGGGGAAUGGAGUGAGGCCGGUGGCCGGGUCUGCUGAGUCCGCAGCACUCAGACUACGUGCACCUCUGCAGCAGGUGCAGGCCCAGUUGUCACCCCUCCAGAACAUCUCCCAGUGGAUUCUGAUGGUGUGGACUCUUCAGACUCUGAGUCUGAUAUCCUUUUGGGCAUUCUGGACGACAUGGACCCCAUCAUGUUCUUCAGAUAUCUUUCCCCAGAAUCAGCCAGCCUGGAGGAGCUCCCAGAAGUCUACCCAGAAGGACCUAGUUCCUUACCCACCUCCCCUUCUCCAUCACUGGGGACGCCAUCAGCCAAGCUGGAAGCCAUUAAUGAACUCAUUCGUUUUGACCACGUAUAUACCAAGCCCCUAGUCUUAGAGGUGCCCUCUGAGACAGAGAGCCAAGCGAGCGUGGUAGUGAAAACUGAGGAAGCACCUCUCAGCCCCUCAGAGAAAGAUCAUCAGGAAUUCACCAUCUUGGUGAAGGAAGAACUUGUAGAAGAUGACUUCAAUCCAGAGCUGAGUAUGUCAAAUCUCCUCUCAUCUAGUCACUGCCUGAAGCCAUCUUCCUGCCUGCUGGACACCUACAGUGACUGUGGCUAUGAGGGUUCCCCCUCCCCUUUCAGCACCAUGUCCUCUCCACUUGGUGUAGACCAUUCUUGGGAGGACACAUUUGCCAGUGAGCUAUUUCCCCAGCUAAUUAGUGUCUAGCAAUUUGAUCCAACACUAUUGCCCUUUCCCUUGCAUAUUAACAUCACUGCCUGGAGAAUGACCCAGAAGCCUGUAUGUGCU